AUUGAACGCUGGCGGAAUGCUUUACACAUGCAAGUCGAGCGGCAGCGCGGGGGCAACCCUGGCGGCGAGCGGCGAACGGGUGAGUAAUACAUCGGAACGUGUCCUUCAAGUGGGGGAUAGCUCGGCGAAAGCCGGAUUAAUACCGCAUAAGCUCUGAGGAGGAAAGCGGGGGACUGGUAACGGCCUCGCGCUGUUGGAGCGGCCGAUGUCGGAUUAGCUAGUUGGUGGGGAAAGGCCCACCAAGGCGACGAUCCGUAGCUGGUCUGAGAGGAUGAUCAGCCACACUGGAACUGAGACACGGUCCAGACUCCUACGGGAGGCAGCAGUGGGGUAAGUUUUGGACAAGUGGGGGCAACCCUGAUCCAGCCAUUCCGCGUGAGUGAAGAAGGCCUGG
rnacentral:rRNA from 1 species